CAAGCAUGUUAAAGCAGUUACUUUUUCCAAGUUACUCCUUUUCUCCCUCUUCAGGAAAUCAGAUCUACUUAUGAUCUGAAUUUGAAAGUCAGGAUAAUGGUACUCCCCGUUUGGUCUUCUAGGAUGUGAAGCCAGAAACAAUGCUUUCAUUUUUAUGUUUAUUCUCUUAUUUGUCAUGAUGUUUCUUGGUUUCUGAUACAAAUUAUUUACUAGUGAUUCUUGCUGUUGUCUAAGGAUCUCUAGUCCUUGCUGGUUUUUUUGUUGCAGCUGCCAAAUCCCUGUGAAGAAACCAAACUCUUAAGAUGGUUUACUGGGACAGUUUUUUCCAUACAAAUGAUUACUGUGGUUGUCAUUUGACUUUGACAAACAUAAAUGAAGCAAGGUGUUUUUUGUGAUCAGGGAAUAAGAAGGUAUAAUUCAAACUGAAUUGCAGUUUAGGCUUUAAAACAAAAAUUUACCAUACCUGUUGUACAGUGAAGGUCUAGUAGUUUUUUAGUGUUCCAUGUAAGAUACAAUAUAGGAAUGCACUACAUGAAGGCAUGCAGAAAAUAUGCAAUACAUCACUUCUCUGUGCAUCUUUUAUCAAGGGUUUAGGUUAAAAAAACCACCCCGAGUUUUUAUAAAAUGGAUAUGUACUUGGAUGCACUGCUGAUUGUUAAUUUUUACCCAGUUUGAUUAGUCAUGAUCUUUCAUGCUGAAGUUGCUGUCUAUUAAUGUUUUUUUCCUUUUAUCACGUUUCUUGCCCUUACCUGCCACUUUCAAAGUACUCCAAUGCUGGUAUAAGAAUCUAAUCACCACAGUAGAUUCAGAGUACAAUGCAUCAGUGAAAAUCAAAAAAAGCUGCUCUGUGAAGUAUAGCAUAUUCAAGAGAAUAAGGUACCAGAAUAAUUUUUUGUGCUUGUUUAACAAGAAGGCAAAUAGAUACCUGAUUUAACUAAUCUCUUUUUCCUGUUCACUCAGAUUCUCACAUCAGCUGUAACGUAGCAGGUAGCAGCAUGCUGUAUGUGAGGUCAUAGUCUUUUUUUAAUUGUAACCAUGAAAAUAGGGAUGCCAGGUAGGUUGUUGUGUCAGGAGGUUUUUUUGAUUUAAGUUUUAUUUUGUGGAAGUUCUCAGCACAGAUGCAACUGCUUCUCUUGGAAGGGCUGUUUCAGUAGCCUUUCGGAGAAACAAAGGAAAAAUUAAUCUCUAAAAUGAGAAAGUUGCUGUGUUCCUUGUGAUUAGGGCAGUCUUUUGCAGUGGAGUAGUAAACUUGGGAUACUCUAAUGUAUUUUUUAAUGGUGACAAGCAAAACCACACACAGCACACUUACAUAGCCCCCCAGCAGCCAGUCCCAAUUGUACUUUACAAUUUAACUGGUUAUAACAGAAUUUUGUGUAAUCUCUUAUUUUUAAAACUAACAACAAACGAACAAACUAAAAUCCACCUCCAAAAGCAAGGAGGAAUAGGUUUGCCUUUAGAUGCAAUGAAGUUUGUUGAAACUGAGGAUGCUGGUAUCUCCUUAGGGCCAGAACUUAGUGUUUCUAAACAUACUAGAAGGAAAGAAAAAUAUUAUUCUGUGCUCAAUUGUAAGAAAGACUUAUAAAAAAAGUAUAAAAAAUAAUGAUGUUUUAGAAUUAUAUUCUUAAAAGGCCUUACACUAAAGUGUUUGAGAUAGACUUGAUCUAAUGGGAGAUUGUAAAAACUCUAAUGAAAAUGAUCCAAGUCUCAGUUCUGUUGCAGAAUUGCACUGUGAUACUGUAUUUUAGUUGUUAUGUUUCUUUAAUAGCACAAGCUGGAAGUUUGUAAAUUGGAAUUCUGCACUAUCUUGGUAAGACAAAGUACUGAUGAAUACUUUCAGUCUCAAACUGUUGGUGCUUUGAAGACGGUACUGGUAGUAGUCAGAUGGCUGCAUUUCAACAGUGGUGGGAAACAUUCCUGUGUGUAAAUACUGUAAAGUGUUUUGGAGGGGGAAAUGGCGCUAUAUAAAUGUAAGACAUUAAGUGCCUCUGAAAUAAUAAACCUAAAGAUAAAAUAUAUCUAGGCUUUUUGUUUCUUAAUUAUGUGAGUAGGAAUUUUGUAAUAAUUCAGUGAAUGCAUAUUCAGUAAGUGUUGGGUUACUCAACAAGCCAGUUGACUUGUGUUCCACUUAUAAAACAUCUGCAGUACUGCCUGAAAUCUGACUUGGAAUCAGCCAGGUGAUGCCAUCCAGUUGUAGGCUUAACCAAGUACAUGAGCUCAGUACUUGAAGAUAUGUUCUUAGAGCAAGUGGAUUAUAGGUGCUUUUAUCUCUUUUAAACUUGCACUGAGAUUACCUCAGUUGGUUACAGCCUGGUGCUCAUAAUGCUGAGGUCAUGGAUUCAAUCCCUGUAUGGGCCAUUCAUUUAAGAGCUGGACUCGAAGAUCCCUGUUAGUCCCUUCCAGCUCAGAAUAUUCUGUGACUCUGACUUCUCUCUCCUUUGUCUGCUGACCACUUCUUUUCCCUUUAUUGAUUUUAGAAGAGUAUGGACUUGAACAAGAUUAAUUUAAUAGCAGUACAUACUGUGGUAAUUCUUUUGAGUGCUCCCUAAUCUUUGUACUUUGAAGAAAAUAAGAUAAUCACUUUCCACUUUUAUUGUAUUUUGUAUUUAUGUGGUGAAUUUUAAUCAUUUUCCUUUGUUGUGGUAAACAUACCAGCUAUCGGGGACUUGAAGCACAAUAGUGUAAAAGUGCAACCAAGAUAUGCUUGAAUUAACUGAUUCUAAAGUGAUCAUUGUUUUCUAAUACUAAUUAGUACUGAUUUUUCCAUUUCUUAACUGAGAUUAGUUCUGCAAGGUGAACAGAACAUCACAGUGCACCUUAUCUUCCAUGUCAAGUGCAAAGCAUGCUUUACUGCAUCAUGGAUUUAUUUUUCUUACAAAACCAAACCAA